ensembl:lncRNA
GAGGGUGUUUCUGUAGUCGAGCGGUGUAUGAGGCACAGAACCCCUAGUUGACCAAAAGCCUGACUCCCUGUUCUUCCUGGUCGGCGCUACAAUAUUCUAUAGGGCGACAGCAGAGAUUUCAAUAUUGAAUGGUACACUUUGAAGAUGACCAAUUCACUGCCACAAAAAGAGAAGGGAUGUUGAUGUUGAGGCCCGAUGCAGUCCCAACAGUUUUCAUUCAUCGCCCUAAGCCGAAGAGAAGGAAACCCCCUUCUGUGAGGGUGCCUCCAGAACCAAGCGCAACGGACCACACAUAUUGCGCCAAAUUAAACUUCGAGAUUGAGGGAGAAAUUGAGGUGGAUUUCAAGAGCGAUGAAAAGGACAUGACAGGAGACAGAGUGAGCAAUCAAGAGGCCACUUUGCCAGGGGCAGGUGAUUCAGGGGCAGGUGAUCCAGGGGCAGGUGAUCCAGGGCCAGCUGCUCCAGGGACCAGACUGCCAGGGACUGAUGGGGCGACUGUGGAGGACCUAAUAAGGCAACUAGAAAAGUUAAUGAGAAGGAAAGCAGAGAGGGAUUUUGUAAAACAAAAAAGAAUCAAUUUGGCACUAAGAAAGAGAAACAAUUCAGUCAACAAGAAGUUAAAACGAAACAGCCAUACAGGUUAAAUUCACUGCCCAUCAUAAUCAGCAUUGUUGAAGCGGCGGCAUCUGUAGGGCUUCAUGUGCUGAACAUCACCCUUUCCAGGAUAUAAUUAAACUAACACUGUUAUUUCUACUAGCUAUCGCAUCAUAAAACCCGUCCUUAAAAUCAACCUAAAUGAUCCUAGCAAUCCAACAUAAAUAACUAGUUGAAUAAAAGUUAGAUUCACUACUGAACUUCGUUAUUGUUGGUGUAGAUACCUUCACCUGGCGAAGUCGAGCUAACAAACCAGCAGGCAAUCGGUCGUCUACCAAGAUAAAUAUAUAUAUAAUUACGCUGUGCAUUUACAAAUAAAUAUCAGUAUAUGCAUCAUAAAAGGUCCUGAUACAAUACAGACAGUUGACAAUUCAAAAGAGGUAGCCAUUUAAUCAAUUUACCCCUGGAGAUACCUUCACAGAUGGCGAAGUUCAGCUAACAAACUAGAAGUGAAUCGGUCGUCUACCAAGAUAAAUAUAUAUAUAAUUACGCUGUGCAUUUACAAAUAAAUAUCAGGGUAUGCAUCAUAAAGGGCCUCUGAUACAAUAUAGACAGUUGACGAUUCAAAAGAGGUAGCUAUUUAAUCAAUUUACCUCAGAAGUUACUCGACGGCCAGCAAUGGAAAUGAAUGAUCUCCUACGCCGUAAAAUGGUUGUUUGGAACUAUUCGAGGCUCCAUAACCCGGAAGUAGGCGCUACAACGGAGUCCAAUGGAAGUGUCGC